rnacentral:rRNA from 1 species
AUACGGAGGGUGCAAGCGUUAAUCGGAAUUACUGGGCGUAAAGAGUACGUAGGUGGUUUGUUUAGUCAGAUGUGAAAGCCCAGGGCUUAACCUUGGAACUGCAUUUGAAACUGGCAAGCUAGAGUAUGGUAGAGGGGGGUAGAAUUCAUAGUGUAGCGGUGAAAUGCGUAGAUAUUAUGAGGAAUACCGGUGGCGAAGGCGGCCCCCUGGCCCAAUACUGACACUGAGGUACGAAAGCGUGGGUAGCGAACAGGAUUAGAAACCCCAGUAGUCC